AAUGGGCGAAAGCCUGAUGCAGCAACGCCGCGUGAGCGAUGAAGGCCUUUGGGUCGUAAAGCUCUGUCCUAGGGGAAGAAUAAAUGACGGUACCCUUGGAGGAAGCCCCGGCUAACUACGUGCCAGCAGCCGCGGUAAUACGUAGGGGGCAAGCGUUAUCCGGAAUUAUUGGGCGUAAAGAGUGCGUAGGUGGUUUUGUAAGCGCGGGGUGAAAGGCAAUAGCUCAACUAUUGUAAGCCCUGCGAACUGUGAGACUUGAGUGCAGGAGAGGAAAGCGGAAUUCCUAGUGUAGCGGUGAAAUGCGUAGAUAUUAGGAGGAACACCAGUGGCGAAGGCGGCUUUCUGGACUGUAACUGACACUGAGGCACGAAAGCGUGGGGAGCAAACAGGAUUAGAUACCCUGGUAGUCCACGCCGUAAACGAUGAGCACUAGGUGUCGGGGCCGCAAGGUUUCGGUGCCGCAGUUAACGCAUUAAGUGCUCCGCCUGGGGAGU
rnacentral:rRNA from 1 species